AGCCUGAGAGCAACACAGAUUUGGAUCUACUGUAGUUCCCAGAAACAUCAUCAGCAGAAACUAGAACCUCAUAAACACGAGUCCAGUCUCUGUUCUCUGUGGACUUCAUGUUCUCCAGAAUCCAGUUGGAUCUUUGGAUUCUGAUACA